UACGUAGGGUGCAAGCGUUGUCCGGAAUUAUUGGGCGUAAAGAGCUCGUAGGCGGUUCGUCGCGUCGGCUGUGAAAUCCCGGAGCUCAACUCCGGGUCUGCAGUCGAUACGGGCGGACUCGAGUUCGGCAGGGGAGACUGGAAUUCCUGGUGUAGCGGUGAAAUGCGCAGAUAUCAGGAGGAACACCGGUGGCGAAGGCGGGUCUCUGGGCCGAUGACUGACGCUGAGGAGCGAAAGCGUGGGGAGCGAACAGGA
rnacentral:rRNA from 1 species